rnacentral:snRNA from 1 species
AGCUUUGCGCAGUGGCAGUAUUGUAGCCAAUGAGGUUUAUCCAAGGCGCCAUUAUUGCUAAUUGAAAACUUUUCCCAAUACCUGGCCAUGACGACUUGAAAUAUAGUCGGCAUUGGCACUUUUUGACAGUCUCUAUGGAGA